rnacentral:tRNA from 1 species
CAUUAAGAAGCUAUGGACCAGCAUUAGCCUUUUAAGCUAAAGAAAGAGGGGCCUCUCCCCUCCUUAAUGA